UGGUAUCCUCGGUCUUUUAUCAAUCAGCAACUAUUGCCUCGAUUUGUUCUAUUCGCCCAUACAGCUUGAUGUAGCUGCUACUAUAGGUCAGAUCAUCAUACCUACCUUCAACAAACCAGAGGAGCAGGAAAAGAAGAAGAACAUCAUACCUCGAAGGGGCUAUUCCCAGGCAACGAGGAAAGCAAACAAACAGACACAACGCAGCAGGACGCAGGAAAAUACCACCGGUAUGCAACGUGGAUAGAUUCGAGUACUUUGCUCUCAUCUCCCAUGAAACCUGCUUGAAUCUUGCUUUCGCACGUAUGCACAACAAGUUCACUCGUCCAAGGCCUCUUGCGAGGUUGCGGCACCCUGCCGCAUUUUGGGGUUUGUUUACCCACUUCUUUUCCAUGAGGGCUUUUCCAUUUCCCUUGAAAAGGGAAAUGGAAGAACAAAUCAAUGGCUCCGGCAGACAUACCCUGCUUCUUCGACCCUGGUCCUCCCUCUUGCUGCGCAUGUUUUACCUUGUCUUGCUCGACGCCCUGAUCUGUGAGGAUGGCACCGCGAGAUUAUGAUUGUACCUUUCUCUUUUUUUGCUCUCUGGAUUGGAAGUGGUAUGAGACAUGAUGUUUCAAAUUAUAAACUGAAAAGACCUGAGGAGUCGAGAGAGACUGAGAUUCAUUCAUGACAUUUCAAUUCCAUGAUCAUUGGUAUAACAUGCUAACUUGUUUUGCCAGAUUUUGCAUUUCUUGCAAGAAGAGGCUAGUAAAUUUGUGAAGUAAAUUGAGUGCCUAUCUCCCCUAGAGCACGAUGAAGUUCAAAAUCUAUUGAGAUUCCCUCUAUCAGAAUGAAAGAGGCACUUAACGAACAUUUGAAACAGAGAAAAGGAGAAACGGGGGCAAGGAUUCCAGCUCGAGUGGCAAACUGUACAAUACUCACAAAUACCUAAGUUACUGGUAGCAAAUGAUGAAAUAUCAAGAUGUAGCCUGAUUUUCAAGGCAAGCCUUGUAUGAUAAUAUGCCCUUUUCUCCUUCUA
rnacentral:lncRNA from 1 species